GAGUUUGAUCCUGGCUCAGAACGAACGCUGGCGGCGUGCCUAACACAUGCAAGUCGAACGUGAUCCAGAGCUUGCUCUGGUGAAAGUGGCGCACGGGUGAGUAACGCGUGGAUAACCUACCCUGGUAUCCGGGAUAACAUUCCGAAAGGGGUGCUAAUACCGGAUAAGCCCACGGGCUCUUUGGAGCUUGCGGGAAAAGGUGGCCUCUAUUUAUAAGCUACUGUAUCAGGAUGGGUCCGCGUACCAUUAGUUAGUUGGCGGUGUAACGGACCACCAAGGCGACGAUGGUUAGCUGGUCUGAGAGGAUGAUCAGCCACACUGGAACUGAGACACGGUCCAGACUCCUACGGGAGGCAGCAGUGGGGAAUUUUGCGCAAUGGGGGAAACCCUGACGCAGCAACGCCGCGUGAGUGAUGAAGGCCUUUGGGUCGUAAAGCUCUGUCAGAGGGGAAGAAAUGAUAUAGUGCUAAUACCACUUUAUCUUGACGGUACCCUCAAAGGAAGCACCGGCUAUCUCCGUGCCAGCAGCCGCGGUAAUAC
rnacentral:rRNA from 1 species